AAGCAUAUAACUAAGCGGAGGAAAAGAAACUAACAAGGAUUCCCUCAGUAGCGGCGAGCGAAGCGGGAAGAGCCCGGGAUGAAAAUCUCUUCGGAGAGUUGUAGUCUGAGCUCCCUUGGGCGGUCAGUGUGGGUAAAUCGUCUGGGAUGACGUGCCAUGGAGGGUGAGAGCCCCGUCCAGCCCACACAGGACCCGCCCGCACGAGGGCGCUUCAACCGAGUCGGGUAGCUUGGGAAUGCUGCUCUAAUUGGUGGUAAAUCUCAUCAAAGGCUAAAUAUGGGUGGGAGACCGAUAGCGAACAAGUACCGUGAGGGAAAGAUGGAAAGAACUUUGAAAAGAGAGUGAAAAGCGCUUGAAACCGUCACGGGGGAAGCGGAUUGCGUGAGUGAUGGGGCGCACUGUUCAGCUCCGCAAGGAGUGCAUUCUGUGCGCGCCGGGCGUGUGUGGCUGUCGUGUGUGCGAAUUUGGUACACGCGGUGGUGAGGGCUCCCCCGCAUGGGGUUUUGAGGACACACGCGAAAUGACGCAAUACGACCCGUCUUGAAACACGGACCAAGGAGUCUAGCACGGCUGCGAGUCGAAGGGUGUGAAAACCCAAACGUGGGCGCAGUGAAAGCGAAAAAAAGCAAAUUGGGGAGGCGUUGCGGUUUUACCAAAAUGUCCUACCUCGAGCACCUGUGCUGGGACCCGAAAGAUGGUGAACUAUGCCGGAGUAGGGCAAAGCCAGAGGAAACUCUGGUGGAGGCUCGUAGCGAUGCUGACGUGCAAAUCGCUCGUCGAACUUGGGUAUAGGGGCGAAAGACUAAUCGAACCAUCUAGUAGCUGGUUCCCUCCGAAGUUUCUCUCAGGAUAGCGGGCCGACGACGUGUUGUUUUGUGCGGUAAAGCGAAUGAUUAGUGCAUUUGGGGGCCGAAGGUCUUCAGGCGAUUCUCAAACUUUAAAUGCGCAAGGGGGCGGCUGCUUGAUUUGAGCCUGCUCUUUUAAAAACGUCGGCCCCGUGGGCCACUUUUGGUAAGCAGAACUGGCGAUAAGGGAUGAACCUUAAGCGCGGUUAAGGCGCCGCAUUGCCCGCUUAUAGACCCCACAAAAGGUGUUGAUUCAUCCAGACAGCAGGACGGUGGCCAUGGAAGUCGGA
rnacentral:rRNA from 1 species